AUUGAACGCUGGCGGCAGGCCUAACACAUGCAAGUCGAGCGAGCGGCGGACGGGUUAGUAAUGUCUGGGACACUUCCUGAUGGAGGGGGUUAACUAACGGACACUGUAGCUAAUUCCGCAUUCCCUCAGCUAUGCCCAAUUGGGAUUAGCUAGUAGGUGGGGUAAUGGCUCACCUAGGCGACGAACCCUAGCUGGUCUGAGAGGAUGACCAGCCACACUGGAACUGAGACACGGUCCAGACUCCUACGGGAGGCAGCAGUGGGGAAUAUUGCACAAUGGGCGCAAGCCUGAUGCAGCCAUGCCGCGUGUAUGAAGAAGGCCUUCGGGUUGUAAAGUACUUUCAGCGGGGAGGCGUUACCAGCAGAAGAAGCACCGGCUAACUCCGUGCCAGCAGCCGCGGUAAUUC
rnacentral:rRNA from 1 species